rnacentral:sRNA from 1 species
UUUCUCCCCAAGUAAUAGUAAAUAGUUUGAAGCUAUUUUAAGUUUCUAAAGUCAUACAUGUGACUUUAAUAAGCACAAAAACUAAGUCUUCGUUUCUCACGUGUGGACUUCCCUGUAGACCAUCUCCCCGGUUGUUGUGCACAGCCACGAAACAAAAGAACAGUGGCCAGAACCUGGAAGAGGACAUGGGUCAGAGUGAACAGAAGGCAGAUCCUCCUGCUACAGAGAAGACCCUCCUGGAAGAGAAGGUCAAGUUGGAGGAGCAGCUGAAGGAGACUGUGGAAAAAUAUAAACGAGCUUUGGCAGACACUGAGAACUUACGGCAGAGGAGCCAGAAAUUGGUGGAGGAGGCAAAAUUAUACGGCAUUCAAGCCUUCUGCAAGGACUUGUUGGAGGUGGCAGACGUUCUGGAGAAGGCAACACAGUGUGUUCCAAAAGAAGAAAUUAAAGACGAUAACCCUCACCUGAAGAACCUCUAUGAGGGGCUGGUCAUGACUGAAGUCCAGAUCCAGAAGGUGUUCACAAAGCAUGGCUUGCUCAAGUUGAACCCUGUCGGAGCCAAGUUCGACCCUUAUGAACAUGAGGCCUUGUUCCACACACCGGUUGAGGGGAAGGAGCCAGGCACAGUGGCCCUAGUUAGCAAAGUGGGGUACAAGCUGCAUGGGCGCACUCUGAGACCCGCCCUGGUGGGGGUGGUGAAGGAAGCUUAGCUGCUGUUGAUGGGGUGGGUGUUUUUAAACUCACUUGAUGUAACUCUUAAGGCUGGUUCAUUGUUUCUCAUCUAUGAGUACGUGUGACCUUUUCCCAAACCUUAUUGGAAACCUUAAGUAACCAGUGGCGAAACAGAAAAGCCGGUUGCCCAACUGCGUUAAUGAACUCUAAUU